rnacentral:rRNA from 1 species
GAGUUUGAUCCUGGCUCAGAACGAACGCUGGCGGCAGGCUUAACACAUGCAAGUCGAGCGCCCCGCAAGGGGAGCGGCAGACGGGUGAGUAACGCGUGGGAAUCUACCCAUCUCUACGGAACAACUCCGGGAAACUGGAGCUAAUACCGUAUACGUCCUUAUGGAGGAAGAUUUAUCGGAGAUGGAUGAGCCCGCGUUGGAUUAGCUAGUUGGUGGGGUAAUGGCCUACCAAGGCGACGAUCCAUAGCUGGUCUGAGAGGAUGAUCAGCCACACUGGGACUGAGACACGGCCCAGACUCCUACGGGAGGCAGCAGUGGGGAAUAUUGGACAAUGGGCGCAAGCCUGAUCCAGCCAUGCCGCGUGAGUGAUGAAGGCCCUAGGGUUGUAAAGCUCUUUCAACGGUGAAGAUAAUGACGGUAACCGUAGAAGAAGCCCCGGCUAACUUCGUGCCAGCAGCCGCGGUAAUACGAAGGGGGCUAGCGUUGUUCGGAAUUACUGGGCGUAAAGCGCACAUAGGCGGAUACUUAAGUCAGGGGGUGAA